AGCGACCCCAGGUCAGGCGAGACUACCCGCUGUGUUUAA
rnacentral:rRNA from 1 species